AUUUGAGAAUCUAUCAGGAGUAAAUUUCAUAACCCACUAUAAUGAGCUUCUUGUUUCUAAUUUUGGAGAGAAGCUAAAUGAAAUAUUACUGAAGGCAGAAAUAAAAGACUGUUUUCCAGUGGGGGCCAAAUCAAGAUUAUUUUAUCACAAAGAGCAGAUUUGAAGAGGUGCUCAGUUGGAGAGAACAAUAGGAAGUUUAGGGAAGAGAAGCUGUUUCUCCAUGGGGAGCCAACCUUCAGAUGAUGAACUGCCUAAUUUGCUUUGUGAACUUUGGGAUAUUUUACGCUAAAUGUAGAGUUGAAGAAACAGAUGUAGUCUUCCAAGAGCUAAAGAGAAGGUGAAGGUUCAAGCAGAGAAGAAUGGGGUUGGAAUUUGGAGAUGCAAUAAC
rnacentral:lncRNA from 1 species